AUCCCACCUGGACAUUGUGUUGACAUGCUUACAGCAGCACCAAUUAUAUGCAAACGAGAAGAAAUGCACCUUUGGACAGCUUUAGUUGGAGUACUCGGGCCAUAUUAUAUCAAGGAAUGGAGUGGCGGCUGACCAGUCAAAGGUUGAGGCAAUGUGUAGUUGGCCUGUACCCAGGAACUUGCGAGAGUUGCGCAGUUUCUUGGGCCUCACCGGAUACUACCGAUGAUUUGUAAAAGGGUAUGCAAAGAUAGCUUGGCCAUUGACAGAACUGUUAAAGAAUGAUGGGUUUAACUAGAGCAAGUCAGCGGAGGAAGCUUUUCGCAACUUGAAGAAGGCUAUAACUGAAGUUCCUGUCCUAGCCUUACCGGACUUCACGCAAGUGUUUGUGGUAGAGACGGAUGCCUCGGGGCAAGGUUUGGGUGCUGUAUUAAUGCAAAGGCAGCACCUGAUUGCUUAUUACAAUCAAGUCCUACCUCCUAGUGUAAGGCGCAAGUCGGUCUAUGAGCGCAAAUUGAUGGCCAUCGUGUUUUCUAUCCAAAAGUGGCGGUAUUAUCUCCUAGGCAACAAUUUAUAGUGAGAACUGAUCAACGGAGUCUGAAAUUUCUUUUGGAACAAUGAAGAACAUCAAAAAUGGAUGACUAAACUUCUCGGUUUUGACUUUGAAAUUCAGUACCGGCUAGGGCUGGAGAACAAAGCUGCAGAUGCUCUCUCACGAGUGGAACCGACCAUGAGUUUUCUUGAAGUCUCCUACCCCCGUGUAUUACAAAUAGAUGAGGUUAAACUGGCUGUUACCAAGGACGAAGAGUUAUGUAAAAUCAUCACCAGUGUUCAGUCAGGGACAGCAAAGCCAAGUUACUCAGUGGUAGAAGGAGUUCUUCGUUACAAUGGCAGGAUGGUUCUACCCGAACCAUCUCCCUUCAUUGAGAUGAUGCUGCAGGAAUAUCACAACACUGGAGUGGGUGGCCAUUCGGGCUUUCUCAAAACUUAUAAACGGGUUGCGCGAGAAGUCUAUUGGAAGGGGAUAAAAAAAGAUGUCAAGGAAUUUGUAGCUCGAUGUAAGUUAUGCCAACAGAACAAGUACUUAUCUUUAUCUCCCCAAGGGCUGCUACAACCAUUGCUGAUCCCGAAACAAGUAUAGGCUGAUGUUUCGUUGGAUUUUAUUGAAAGGUUACCCAAGUCGAAGGGUUGGGACACUAUUCUUGUAGUGGUGGACCGUCUCAGUAAAUACAGUCACUUCAUUGGACUAAAGCAUCCAUUCACAGCCCCCAUGGUGGCUAAGGUCUUCAUUCGUGAAAUUAUCAAGUUGCAUGGCAUUCCCCAAUCUAUUGUAUCCGAUCGAGAUCGAAUUUUCAUGAGUAAAUUCUGGGAGGAACUUUUUCAAGCUCAGGGGACUGUUCUUAAAAGAAGUACGGCGUAUCACCCCCAAACGGAUGGCCAAACUGAAGUUGUCAACCGAUGUUUAGAAACGUACUUACGUUGUUUUGCCUCCAGUAAACCUCGUUCUUGGAGACAGUGGUUAGCAUGGGCUGAAUUUUG
rnacentral:lncRNA from 1 species